GCGAAAACUUUACAAUGCUGGCAACAGCGAUAAGGGAACCUCGAGUGCCAGGUUACAAAUCUGGCUGUCGAGAUGCCUAAAAAGCAUUUCAUAGCAAGGGCCGGGCAAGACCGGUGCCAGCCGCCGCGGUAACACCGGCGGCUCGAGUGGUAACCGUUAUUAUUGGGUCUAAAGGGUCUGUAGCCGGCCGGAUAAGUCUCUUGAGAAAUCGGGCAGCUUAACUGUCAGGCUUUCAGGAGAUACUGUCUGGCUCGAGGCCGGGAGAGGUGAGAGGUACUUCAGGGGUAGGGGUGAAAUCUUGUAAUCCUUGAAGGAGCACCAGUGGCGAAGGCGUCUCACCAGAACGGACGUGGCGGCAAGGGACGAAAGCUAGGGGCACGAACA
rnacentral:rRNA from 1 species